rnacentral:lncRNA from 1 species
AAGAUAACACUUUUAAAAGCAAUUCUACUUGGACACGGUGAAGUUGGGAAGAACUCUCUUGCAAAUAAACAUAUAACUAACAAAUUUGAUAACCAAGCAUUUUAUACAAUAGGUAUGGGAUUUUAAAAUAAAGAUUCAGAGAUGAAUGGCUUGUUUUAACUGUAGCAGAUUUUGGACACAGUCAGUAGUCAUUUAGAAACCUGGGGGCACCAUUUUCCAGAGAUUCUGAAUUUUGCCUUCUUAUUUUUGGACUAGAUGACUCUCAAAGUCUCCAGAACAUGGAUAAGUGAAAGAAAGAAUUUAUAUAUUAGACAGAUAUCAAGGAGCUUGAAUCUUUACUUUUGUGAUU